rnacentral:rRNA from 1 species
GACGUAGGGCGCGAGCGUUGUCCGGAUUUAUUGGGCGUAAAGAGCUCGUAGGCGGCUUGUCGCGUCGUCCGUGAAAACCCACAGCUCAACUGUGGGCUUGCGGUCGAUACGGGCAGACUUGAGUUCGGUAGGGGAGACUGGAAUUCCUGGUGUAGCGGUGAAAUGCGCAGAUAUCAGGAGGAACACCGGUGGCGAAGGCGGGUCUCUGGGCCGAUACUGACGCUGAGGAGCGAAAGCGUGGGGAGCGAACAGG